rnacentral:lncRNA from 1 species
UAGAACAAAAGGAUUACUGAAUACAUGCUUACAAUUACUUGAAAUUUAACUUUACUUCAUAGAUUCAAAAUAGGCAUAUCCCAUUACAAGAUACCUAGCACAACAUUGAUUUUUAGUCUUUGGACAGAAAACAACUUGUAAGUGGUACUCUUGGUGUAGUGAUCAAACAUAGACAAUAAACUCCUGUCAAAUAUUAAACCUUCCUUUGGGCCGAUUUAAUAUUCACANNN